UAAGGGAAUCUUCGGCAAUGGGGGCAACCCUGACCGAGCAACGCCGCGUGAGUGAAGAAGGUUUUCGGAUCGUAAAGCUCUGUUGUAAGAGAAGAACGAGUGUGAGAGUGGAAAGUUCACACUGUGACGGUAACUUACCAGAAAGGGACGGCUAACUACGUGCCAGCAGCCGCGGUAAUACGUAGGUCCCGAGCGUUAUCCGGAUUUAUUGGGCGUAAAGCGAGCGCAGGCGGUUAGAUAAGUCUGAAGUUAAAGGCUGUGGCUUAACCAUAGUACGCUUUGGAAACUGUUUAACUUGAGUGCAGAAGGGGAGAGUGGAAUUCCAUGUGUAGCGGUGAAAUGCGUAGAUAUAUGGAGGAACACCGGUGGCGAAAGCGGCUCUCUGGUCUGUAACUGACGCUGAGGCUCGAAAGCGUGGGGAGCAAACAGGAUUAGAUACCCUGGUAGUCCACGCCGUAAACGAUGAGUGCUAGGUGUUGGGUCCUUUCCGGGACUCAGUGCCGCAGCUAACGCAUUAAGCACUCCGCCUGGGGAGUACGACCGCAAGGUUG
rnacentral:rRNA from 1 species